UGUAUAAUGGGUCAGCGACUUAUAUUCUGUAGCAAGGUUAACCGAAUAGGGGAGCCGAAGGGAAACCGAGUCUUAACUGGGCGUUAAGUUGCAGGGUAUAGACCCGAAACCCGGUGAUCUAGCCAUGGGCAGGUUGAAGGUUGGGUAACACUAACUGGAGGACCGAACCGACUAAUGUUGAAAAAUUAGCGGAUGACUUGUGGCUGGGGGUGAAAGGCCAAUCAAACCGGGAGAUAGCUGGUUCUCCCCGAAAGCUAUUUAGGUAGCGCCUCGUGAAUUCAUCUCCGGGGGUAGAGCACUGUUUCGGCAAGGGGGUCAUCCCGACUUACCAACCCGAUGCAAACUGCGAAUACCGGAGAAUGUUAUCACGGGAGACACACGGCGGGUGCUAACGUCCGUCGUGAAGAGGGAAACAACCCAGACCGCCAGCUAAGGUCCCAAAGUCAUGGUUAAGUGGGAAACGAUGUGGGAAGGCCCAGACAGCCAGGAUGUUGGCUUAGAAGCAGCCAUCAUUUAAAGAAAGCGUAAUAGCUCACUGGUCGAGUCGGCCUGCGCGGAAGAUGUAACGGGGCUAAACCAUGCACCGAAGCUGCGGCAGCGACACUGUGUGUUGUUGGGUAGGGGAGCGUUCUGUAAGCCUGUGAAGGUGUACUGUGAGGUAUGCUGGAGGUAUCAGAAGUGCGAAUGCUGACAUAAGUAACGAUAAAGCGGGUGAAAAGCCCGCUCGCCGGAAGACCAAGGGUUCCUGUCCAACGUUAAUCGGGGCAGGGUGAGUCGACCCCUAAGGCGAGGCCGAAAGGCGUAGUCGAUGGGAAACAGGUUAAUAUUCCUGUACUUGGUGUUACUGCGAAGGGGGGACGGAGAAGGCUAUGUUGGCCGGGCGACGGUUGUCCCGGUUUAAGCGUGUAGGCUGGUUUUCCAGGCAAAUCCGGAAAAUCAAGGCUGAGGCGUGAUGACGAGGCACUACGGUGCUGAAGCAACAAAUGCCCUGCUUCCAGGAAAAGCCUCUAAGCAUCAGGUAACAUCAAAUCGUACCCCAAACCGACACAGGUGGUCAGGUAGAGAAUACCAAGGCGCUUGAGAGAACUCGGGUGAAGGAACUAGGCAAAAUGGUGCCGUAACUUCGGGAGAAGGCACGCUGAUAUGUAGGUGAAGCGACUUGCUCGUGGAGCUGAAAUCAGUCGAAGAUACCAGCUGGCUGCAACUGUUUAUUAAAAACACAGCACUGUGCAAACACGAAAGUGGACGUAUACGGUGUGACGCCUGCCCGGUGCCGGAAGGUUAAUUGAUGGGGUUAGCGCAAGCGAAGCUCUUGAUCGAAGCCCCGGUAAACGGCGGCCGUAACUAUAACGGUCCUAAGGUAGCGAAAUUCCUUGUCGGGUAAGUUCCGACCUGCACGAAUGGCGUAAUGAUGGCCAGGCUGUCUCCACCCGAGACUCAGUGAAAUUGAACUCGCUGUGAAGAUGCAGUGUACCCGCGGCAAGACGGAAAGACCCCGUGAACCUUUACUAUAGCUUGACACUGAACAUUGAGCCUUGAUGUGUAGGAUAGGUGGGAGGCUUUGAAGUGUGGACGCCAGUCUGCAUGGAGCCGACCUUGAAAUACCACCCUU
rnacentral:rRNA from 1 species